UACGAAGGGGCUGGCGUUGCUCGGAAUGACUGGGCGUAAGGGCGCGUAGGCGGUUCGUACAGUCAGACGUGAAUUCCGGCUCAACCUGGGGCUGCGUUUGAUACGUGCGGCUUGAGUUCGGAAGAGGUCGUGGAAUUCCCAGUGUAGAGGUGAAAUUCGGUAGAUAUUGGGAAGAACACCGGUGGCGAAGGCGGCGACCUGGUCCGAUACGUGACGCUGAGCGCGAAAGCGUGGGAGCAACAGG
rnacentral:rRNA from 1 species